rnacentral:rRNA from 1 species
CCUACGGGGGGCAGCAGUCGAGAAUCAUUCACAAUGGGGGAAACCCUGAUGGUGCGACGCCGCGUGGGGGAAUGAAGGUCUUCGGAUUGUAAACCCCUGUCAUGUGGGAGCAAAUUAAAAAGAUAGUACCACAAGAGGAAGAGACGGCUAACUCUGUGCCAGCAGCCGCGGUAAUACAGAGGUCUCAAGCGUUGUUCGGAAUCACUGGGCGUAAAGCGUGCGUAGGCUGUUUCGUAAGUCGUGUGUGAAAGGCGCGGACUCAACCCGCGGACGGCACAUGAUACUGCGAGACUGGAGUAAUGGAGGGGGAACCGGAAUGCUCGGUGUAGCAGUGAAAUGCGUAGAUAUCGAGAGGAACACUCGUGGCGAAGGCGGGUUCCUGGACAUUAACUGACGCUGAGGCACGAAGGCCAGGGGAGCGAAAGGGAUUAGAUACCCGUGUAGUC